GAUGAACGCUGGCGGCGUGCUUAACACAUGCAAGUCGAACGAUGAAGCCCAGCUUGCUGGGUGGUUUCGUGGCGAACGGGUGAGUAACUCGCGCGUAACCUGCCUUUAACUCUGGGUUAAGUAAGGGCAAGUGGGUCUAAUACCGGACAGGAGAGUCAACCGCCCGGUGGGUGCUGGAAAGAUUUAUCGGUUUUGGAUGGACUCGCGGCCUAUCAGCUUGUUGGUGAGGUAAUGGCUGACCAAGGCGAUGCCGGGUAGCCGGCCUGAGAAGGUCACCGGCCACACGGGGACUGAGGCAGGGACCAGACGCCAACGGGAGGCAGCAGUCGGGAACAUUACACAAUAGGCGCAAGCCAGAUGCAACGGCGCCGCGUGAGUGAUGACGGGCUUCUAGGUGUGAACCUCUUUCAAUGUGGAAAAAGCGAAAGUGACGGUACCUACAGAGAAAGCACCGGCUAACUACGUG
rnacentral:rRNA from 1 species